rnacentral:rRNA from 1 species
GAUGAACGCUGGCGGCGUGCCUAAUACAUGCAAGUCGAGCGAACAGACGAGGAGCUUGCUCCUCUGACGUUAGCGGCGGACGGGUGAGUAACACGUGGAUAACCUACCUAUAAGACUGGGAUAACUUCGGGAAACCGGAGCUAAUACCGGAUAAUAUAUUGAACCGCAUGGUUCAAUAGUGAAAGACGGUUUUGCUGUCACUUAUAGAUGGAUCCGCGCCGCAUUAGCUAGUUGGUAAGGUAACGGCUUACCAAGGCAACGAUGCGUAGCCGACCGGAGAGGGUGAUAGGCCACACUGGAACUGGGACACGGUCCAGACUCCUACGGGAGGCAGCAGUAGGGAAUCUUCCGCAAUGGGCGAAAGCCUGACGGAGCAACGCCGCGUGAGUGAUGAAGGUCUUCGGAUCGUAAAACUCUGUUAUUAGGGAAGAACAAAUGUGUAAGUAACUAUGCACGUCUUGACGGUACCUAAUCAGAAAGCCACGGCUAACUACGUG